UACGUAGGGGGCAAGCGUUGUCCGGAUUUAUUGGGCGUAAAGAGCGUGUAGGCGGCUAGAUAGGUCCGUUGUGAAAACUCGAGGCUCAACCUCGAGACGUCGAUGGAAACCAGCUGGCUAGAGUCCGGAAGAGGAGAGUGGAAUUCCUGGUGUAGCGGUGAAAUGCGCAGAUAUCAGGAAGAACACCAGUGGCGAAGGCGGCUCGCUGGGACGUUACUGACGCUGAGACGCGAAAGCGUGGGGAGCAAACAGG
rnacentral:rRNA from 1 species